CUUCCCCUAGUCAAUCGUCUGUCCCCCCCUAAUCAAUUGUCAGUCCUCCCUUGGUAAAUCGUCAGCCCUCCUCCCGUCAAACAUCAGCAAUCCCCUUAGUAAAGUAUCAGUCAAAAGUAUAUGAUUUCUCCCAGCGAAUAAAACGAGCAGAAACACUGGAACUAUUAUCACAUGGACUCAAUAAAGAAGAGGUGCUAGCUUGUGUAAGGAACAUGGGAGACCCCAAAGCUCUUUAUGAAGCCCUAAAGAAAGAGCUAGAUGAAGAUGCAGAAGCCAUUUUUAAAGUGGCAAAAGAAUGUCAACAUAAGGGCAAAAGUAAGCGCAAACAUUUUCCACUUUCCAAAGCCACAGAGCAAAAAUAUAUAAAAAUAAGGAUCCGUCCAAUGGCUUGGAAAGAAAAAACUAAAGUGACAGGGGGAAAGUACAUUAGAGUUGUUGCUGAGGAGGAGUCGUCCACAUUUUUACUGGACCCCACUGAUGGCUACAAUGAAAUUGUGGCCGCUGCCAAAGACAGACUUUGACCUUCCAGGUCUUCACACUCUGCCAUGACGAUGGGACACCUUGGCCAAGGGCGGACUUUGAAUAAGAGCAUAUGACCCUAUCAGAAAUAAAGGAUGUCUGGAAGAAAACUUUCUUUGUUGGACGAAGAUCCAUGGGUAAUAUUUAGUUCAGUGCCAUGAUAAUAAUACAUUUUGGGGAUACUUAUUCUUGAUAUGCAUUAUUGGAUGUAAUCGGUUUUCAAACAGCAGGAUACAGUUACUGGGCUGAGGAACGGGUAAGAUAACAGUAUAUAAGCCUCUUCAAUAUGUAUGACAAUGUUACUAUUACCAGAAUUCAGUGGUACAUAUUGAAUGUGUUUUAAAAAGUUCUCUACAACUGUUG